AACGAACGCUGGCGGCAGGCUUAACACAUGCAAGUCGAGCGCCCCGCAAGGGGAGCGGCAGACGGGUGAGUAACGCGUGGGAACGUACCCUUUGCUACGGAAUAGCUCCGGGAAACUGGAAUUAAUACCGUAUGUGCCCUACGGGGGAAAGAUUUAUCGGCAAAGGAUCGGCCCGCGUUGGAUUAGCUAGUUGGUGGGGUAAUGGCCUACCAAGGCGACGAUCCAUAGCUGGUCUGAGAGGAUGAUCAGCCACAUUGGGACUGAGACACGGCCCAGACUCCUACGGGAGGCAGCAGUGGGGAAUAUUGGACAAUGGGCGCAAGCCUGAUCCAGCCAUGCCGCGUGAGUGAUGAAGGCCUUAGGGUUGUAAAGCUCUUUUAGCAGGGACGAUAAUGACGGUACCUGCAGAAAAAGCCCCGGCCAACUUCGUGCCAGCCGCCGCCGUAAAAC
rnacentral:rRNA from 1 species